AAAACAGUCACCAACGGCGUUCGACGUGCCACGUGACUGCAGCCGUGUCUUGAAAAGACUAUUUAUUUGGCAAUAUUUCGAUCCUAGUUGUAGAAAUUGAAGUUAAAUUUAGAUGUUGUUAAUUUUUUUUAUUCAUUGAUGGGAUAUGGGCAUCACUGGCUGGACCAGCAUUUAUUACCCAUCCCUAAUUAAGAGUCAACCACAUUGCUGUGGUUCUGGAGUUACACGUAGGCCAGACCAGGCACCAGUGGCAUCUGUAUAGUCACCUCCAUGAAGAGGUCAGCCCCUCAAUACAUCAUCUCCUCCAUCUCUGAAGAAUAGCUACAGAUCCCCGAGGGCAAGCACAAGCAAGGCUCACUACUACACCUUCUACCAGCUCAUCCCGAUUCCUCCGUUGAAUCCUCGUUGCUGGAGUACAGCCAGGAACUGAUUCUGGUGAGCACAUUACUAGCAUGUCUCUGCAGCUGAAAGAGGAAGAAACACUCCAAGACUCUGGCAUUCAGACGUCUGCCAGAGACUAAGCACCUGCUCAGCCUCAGGCAGGAGAGGACCCAUACUGUUUGCCAUUAAUAACUUCAUUCAAAUGCACAAGCAAACAUAGGAACAGCAGGCAUAUUUGUCAGAAGCACUGUAAGUGUUGGUUGACUCCCCAACUUCAUUGGAAUGAUAACUUCAUUCCAAGUGAGUUGGAGAUACACCAUGAUGCUGUGGUGAGGCUGCUGGGUGUCUGAUGCCAAUCUCUGUCUGUGGGUGGGUGGGGGGAUGUGCAGGUGGUUGCUGCCCAUGGAGCGUACCCUGAGAUGUUUGGGAUAGCUGUCCAAGAUGGAAGCCUAGAAGAACAAGUGCUGAGCUGGAGUCAUCAGGUACUUGGCAGGAUUUUAUGUCAUCUAGUUUCUCUCUGAUAGAUGGGAGAAGAAGAAACUGCAUGUAAAGGAGGUGAGAUUAGGUACUAAUGAGAUGUAAAUGAAUUGAAUUAGACCUCUUGCUACUCAUCUAUUUAAUUGAUUUUCAUCUAGCUAUUCAAGUCUUAGGCGCCUAGUUGGACAUUUUUUCCCUCAAAGUUGAGAAUCUCAUUUUUAUAAGCUCAUCAUAUCUUUCCAUCUGACUUGCCAUUGCAAAUGAUGUUCAGGGACUGAGAAAAUUCAGCACCUAGUUUUUCUUCAAAGUAUUUUCCUUUACAAAAUUAAUACAAUCUUCUCAAACUAUAUUAAAUACAGAUAGACAAAAGACAAUAUAAAUUUUCAAUGUAUGUUAAGCAAUACAUGUUUGGUCAGUGAUACUUGUAUGUUUCUAGAUAGUGUUUCCAUUACAAAAUCAUUGCACCAUCAAACCUGCAACAGUACACUUUGAAGAAAUCAAAUUUUAUAACUUGCAGAUCCCCACAACUUGUAUUACUGCACAGGAUUUAUGAUUUGUUUUGUCAUUUUCUAUAGACAAUUCACAAAAUACAUUGUAAUUUGUUUAUUAAACAAAAGGCAUAGUUGUUAUAUUUAUAAAGCAUUCUACAUAUAAGUAAAUAUUUUCACCUAUUAAUAUUCUCUACUGAUACCAGGCAUUCUGCCAAUUAUUUACAUUAACUACCUAUUUUUGCAUACAUUACUUAGAUCAUAAUUUUGUGUACUUUCUGCUGCUUCACUUGAGGACCACCACUAAUUUUGACCCCCCAUGUGCAAUGACAUGGGAGAUUAAUAAUUUGCAAGUAACAAGUUUUAAUUCAAACAAUGACUCCUCCUGCCAAGGGGUCAAAGAUACAUGGCCAGGUCUGCAUUUUAAUAUAUACAGUUACACUCAUUAAAUAUGGAGAGUUCUUUGGAAUGUACAAGCUGUUGGUAGCUCUUCCAAAAUGUAUUGUACUUAUAGUCCCAACAAUAGUUACUGUAUAUCAAAUACAUAACCUUUCUUAACACUGAUUUGAUGAAGUAUUACAAACUCUUAACUAAAAAUAGUUUAUAUAGUUUAUAUCACAGUUGUAAAUAAAUUAAGAGUACUUGGAGUCAAGAAAAAUCCUAUUUUGUAAUUUUUAUUUACGAGUAUAGAUGACAAUAACAUUUGCAGCUGAUUUCAUAUUGUUGCAUUUGGCUCCUGAUCCAUGAACCAUUCAAGGAACAGAGUCCCACUAUCUGGAAUUCUUUUAAACAACAGGUACCCCGCAUGUUUAUGGAAUAACAUAUAUAUUUCAGAAACAGAGGUGAAAUAAAAAUAACAUCAUUUAUAAUAGAAAGCUUAUGAAACAAAGGAAUAUUUGAAGCAGAACUAUAGUCUUGCAAUUUGCACUAUUUGUAGUAAAACAUUCAACAAUUUUUAGCUGCAUUUUGUGUGUUUGUUGAAAUGUAACAGUACUGUUUUAUAGUCAAAAAUACUGCUUCUUACUAAAUUAGAUAGAGUUACUGUAAGAUACAAUCAACUGCAUAUUGCCUAAAGAAUACUGCAGUUAAAAAAGAUUGCUGUUCACAAGAUAAAUAUAUCUUCUACACAAUAUACUGGAAGUCUUGCGCAAUAGACUGGCAAAAGGAUUCUUCACACAUAAGUAAUGCAUAAUGCCAUAUAGAUCAUUCUCCGUUUAAAAAGCCAUUUAAUCGAUUAUAAAUAUGUAUAUGUCAAAAAUGAGCUUAAUGUCCUUUGAAGUCCUACAAAUAAUCUGAAAUUCAUAUUACAUUUUCUGUUUGCUUUAUGUAGCAUGACAGAGAAUAACUGAUUUGACAAAAUUAUAAUAAAUCCUAUCACACUAUUUCCAUUUUACCCUAAAAUUUGAAAUGCAACAGUCACUACAUUUAGAAAAUCAAUUUCUUUAAUGUUAGCAUGUUAACUAGUUGGGAAGAAAUACAUUGUAAUUUGUUUAAUAACCAAAGGCAUAGUUGUGGAAUUUAUAAAGCAUUCUACAUACAAGUAAAUAUUUUCACCUAUUAAUAUUCUCUACUAAUACCAGGCUGUCUGCUAAUUAUUUACAUUAACUAACUGUUUUUGCAUAAGGCAUACAUUAUUGUUAAGGGGAAGCAUAUCAUACUGAAUUUUAAUGUAUUCCUCAAGGUAUGAAUUUUUGCAAAUAUUCCCCAAAUCAUCCACCAUAACAUCAAAAACCCAAAGUAUACAUUAGGACUACUUUGCUAAAAAGUAGAAUACCGUUUCCCCUAAAGUGAACUUCGUCUGAACUUCUCAAUGCUUCAGUUAUAUUUGUAGGAUUUUUCAGCCCAUUUGAGGUUUGAAUGGCUUUGAUGUGCUUUGCGAUACUUAUUGGAUCUGUAGCUUACUGUGUACUGACAAAUUUCUGUAACCUGUGAAAAAUAUAUUCUUGAGAAUGUUGGCUUUUUUGGACAUAGGCUACAUAUCUGAUGUUAUCAAAUGUAAUUCAUGAAUUUGACUGUAUUUUAAGGCAGAGGUUUUGGGUGAACUUUUACUAGUGCAUUUUGUAUGCAAGGACACACUUAUUCUUGACUGCACAAGCAUCACCUACAUUUUAGCCCAUUAACACAGAUAAUAUUUAUUUCUGAUGGUUAUUGUCUAUAUAAGUCAGCACAUGCAAAGGGAAAUUAGUUUCUCACCAUUUCUCUCCCAUCCCUGCUCCAUUCCCCACCCCUGACACACACACACAGAGCAUAUAUAAAUAUUAGAUUAUAAGCUCUAUAUGAUUUAUGUCAUUAGACUAACUGAAUACACAUGACCAAUAUAACUGGAACAUAAAUUAUACACCACAAGCUUUCCUUAAGUAAGUUUUAACAUAUUGUACAGCUAUAAGAGAUGGGUUUCAUUGAACAUCAGAUCAAGUACCAUAAGAAAUGAGUUUAUAAAAAACAUAGUAUUCGAAAAGUUCAGUUUCAAACAUGCCUAUGAGAGGACAGAAUAUUAAGCAAAGAUUUGCAUUUAUUGAUAAAUAGCAAAAACAUAUUUUUAACUCUAACUUAACUGAAGAUGUGACCUUGUAUGCAAUCACUAGCUAUAUGUAUAUUCCUAGAUCAUCAUGUUGUUAUUUUCCUAAUGAUUUACACAUCUGUUUAAUUUACUGAUGUUAUAUUUAAAUGUUUAUAAAGACCAAAACAAUAACAAUUUAAUUUCUUAAAACUGAAAAUUAAUUGCCACAUCUUGUCAAGAGUCAUUUGGUACAAUGCACAUACAAACAACUUUCUCAUUAUUUUUAAUUUAAUUGUGUGCUGAUGGCAGAAACAAGCUGACAAUAUGUUCAGCAGGAAAAUGUACAGUGGGUCAGCCAGUACCUGAAAGAAAGAUUGAUCUGCUGUCAAAGAUUUUUAAUAAAAUGUUAACUUAUUUCAAAA